rnacentral:rRNA from 1 species
GUUGAACGCUGGCGGCAGGCCUAACACAUGCAAGUCGAACGGUAACAGGAAGCAGCUUGCUGCUUCGCUGACGAGUGGCGGACGGGUGAGUAAUGUCUGGGAAACUGCCUGAAGGAGGGGGAUAACUACUGGAAACGGUAGCUAAUACCGCAUAACGUCGCAAGACCAAAGAGGGGGACCUUAGGGCCUCUUGCCAUCGGAUGUGCCCAGAUGGGAUUAGCUAGUAGGUGGGGUAACGGCUCACCUAGGCGACGAUCCCUAGCUGGUCUGAGAGGAUGACCAGCCACACUGGAACUGAGACACGGUCCAGACUCCUACGGGAGGCAGCAGUGGGGAAUAUUGCACAAUGGGCGCAAGCCUGAUGCAGCCAUGCCGCGUGUAUGAAGAAGGCCUUCGGGUUGUAAAGUACUUUCAGCGGGGAGGAAGGGAGUAAAGUUAAUACCUUUGCUCAUUGACGUUACCCGCAGAAGAAGCACCGGCUAACUCCGUG